rnacentral:rRNA from 1 species
CCUACGGGUGGCAGCAGUAGGGAAUAUUGCUCAAUGGGGGAAACCCUGAAGCAGCAACGCCGCGUGGAGGAUGAAGGUUUUAGGAUUGUAAACUCCUUUUGUUAGAGAAGAUUAUGACGGUAUCUAACGAAUAAGCACCGGCGAACUCCGUGCCAGCAGCCGCGGUAAUAUGGAGGGUGCAAGCGUUACUCGGAAUCACUGGGCGUAAAGAGUGCGUAGGCGGGGUAAUAAGUCAGAUGUGAAAUCCUGUAGCUUAACUACAGAACUGCAUUUGAAACUGUUACUCUGGAGUGUGGGAGAGGUAGGUGGAAUGCGUGGUGUAGGGGUGAAAUGCGUAGAGAUCAAGAAGAAUACUGAUUGCGAAGGCAGCCUGCUGGAACAUUACUGACGCUGAUGCACGAAAGCGUGGGGAGCAAACAGGAUUAGAUACCCUGGUAGUC